rnacentral:rRNA from 1 species
GGUAGAGCACUGAAUUUCCUAGGGGGCGUCAAAGCCUACCGAAGAAUAUCAAACUCCGAAUGCCGCGUAAUCGAUUAUCGGGAGUCAGACUGCACGAGAUAAGUUGGGCGGUCAAAAGGGAAAGAGCCCAGACCUUCAGUUAAGGUCCCCAAGUGCGCGUUAAGUGGAAAAGGAUGUGGGAUUUCGAAGACAACCAGGAUGUUGGCUCAGAAGCAGCCAUACAUUCAAAGAGUGCGUAAUAGCUCACUGGUCGAGAGGUCCUGCGCCGAAAAUGUCCGGGGCUGAAACACGACACCGAAGCUUAGGAAUCACAUAGUGAUUGGUAGAGGAGCAUUCUUAAAACCGACGAAGCUGUACCGGAAGGAGCAGUGGAGGGAUAAGAAGAGAGAAUGCCGGAAUGAGUAGCGAGAGAGAGGUGAGAAUCCUCUCGGCCGAAUAUCCAAGGUUUCCAGAGUAAAGCUGAUCUGCUCUGGGUAAGUCGGGGCCUAAGGCGAGGUCGAAAGACGUAGUCGAUGGAUAACAGGUUGAAAUUCCUGUACUAUCCUGUAACAGAACUGUGGGGACACAGGCAGAGAGCGUGAGCCGGGAAUGGAAAGACCGGUACAAGCGAGGUAGGAGAAGAGUUGGCAAAUCCGCUCUUUAAUCUGAAGACGUGAUGUGGACUGAAAAUAAGUAGGGAAGCACGUGAGCUGACUGUCAAGAAAAGCCGCUAUUGUUUGCAGGAUACCCGUACCGUAAACCGACACAGGUGGAUGAGGAGAGAAUCCUAAGGCCGACGGAAGAAGCAUUGUUAAGGAACUCGGCAAAAUGACCCCGUAACUUCGGGAGAAGGGGUGCUCCAGAGAUGGAGCCGCAGAGAACUGGCCCAAGCAACUGUUUAGCAAAAACACAGGUCUAUGCAAAACCGAAAGGUGAGGUAUAUGGGCUGACGCCUGCCCGGUGCUGGAAGGUUAAGAGGAGAGGUUAGCGCAAGCGAAGCUUUGAAUUUAAGCCCCAGUAAACGGCGGCCGUAACUAUAACGGUCCUAAGGUAGCGAAAUUCCUUGUCGGGUAAGUUCCGACCCGCACGAAAGGCGUAAUGAUUUGGGCACUGUCUCGACAAUGCACCCGGUGAAAUUGAAAUACCAGUGAAGAUGCUGGUUACCUGCGCCAGGACGGAAAGACCCCAUGGAGCUUUACUCCAGUCUGGUACUGGGACUCGGUAUUGCAUGUACAGGAUAGGUGGGAGGCUAGGAGAUGGUAACGCCAGUUGCCAUGGAGCCGCUGUUGGGAUACCACCCUUGCAGUAUUGGGUUUCUAACCAGCCGCCGUGACCCGGCGGUGGGACAAUGCCAGACGGGGAGUUUGACUGGGGCGGUCGCCUCCGAAAGGGUAUCGGAGGCGCUCAAAGGU